ensembl:lncRNA
AAGGACUCAAAGUACAUUACUGAAUAACUCUUUAAGAUGAAUCAAUAUGUUUAGAUAAAUGCAUCACACUUUAUAAUUUUUCAGUAUUGUAUUCAGACAUUAAGAAAUGUUGAAUCUGUGUGAGAAUUGUAAUCAUACUCACAUGUACGCACAUAUGAUGACAGUCUUCUUCAAUUGCCUGCCAUGUUUCUCAGUGCACCCUUUGGCACAUUGAACAGAGAAUGGAGGCUGUUUUGAAUGCAGCUAUUCCAUUUAUCUUCUCUUUCCUCAAAUUUUGUUGCAUUCUUUGUUACAUACUGUCCAAAACCUUUUUUUUUUUUCAUGGACUUUUCUGCAUUACCCAUUAUUUUUACUGGUGGGAUAUAUACCACUUCAUUCAUUUAUAUUCUGAGCAUCUCUGUUAAGGUUUUUCAGAGGAGGAGAACAAAUAAAAGGGGAAAAUGCAGGAGGAGAAGGAAGGGAGGAGUGUCAGCAUUUGUUACUCAGAAUAACCUUCACUCUCUAAGUAAGUAACCUGAUUUUUCUUCUGUGUAUGGAUUCUAGUUAAUGCAAAUAUCUGAAAGUAGAUUUUUCUGUUAUUGGCUGCAUCCUUUGCAAACUUUUUUUCCAGACAUUUUAGUCAAACUAUUGCUACUGAAACUACUAUUCAGUGGAAAACUUUUCCCAGAUAAAUUUUUUUAAGCAGCAAAAGGUCUCUCAAAGCAGUCCUCAGGACAUGGUUCCUAAUUACACCCCUUUAACUAAGCAGGUAUUUUUGCCCAGUUAAUUGAUAUAGACUCCUGUUUCUCUGUUGUUUCUCUUGGAAGAUAAUAUAAAGGGAUAUUGAGUAAGCUCUUCCCUUGCAGUCUGCUUUAUUUCCUUUGGAGUAUCUCUUUUUAUUUGAAGACAAACAAGCUGUUCUCUUACUUGCUAACAUUUCUUCAAAAGACAUUUAAUUUAUUGACUGCUUGGGUAGCACAAUGUUUCCUCAGACACCUAGAAAGCUGUUUGCAAUAAAUAUCACUCGAGUC